GGCCGACUAGCUCAGUUGGUUAGAGCGUGGUGCUAAUAAUAAGGUUACGCCAAGGUCGUCGGUUCGAUCCCGGCGUUGGCCA